UACAGAGGUGGCAAGCGUUGUUCGGAAUUACUGGGCGUAAAGGGCGCGUAGGCGGCCAUCUAAGUCAGACGUGAAAUCCCCCGGCUUAACCUGGGAACUGCGUCUGAUACUGGACGGCUUGAGUAUGGGAGAGGGAUGUAGAAUUCCAGGUGUAGCGGUGAAAUGCGCAGAUAUCGGGAGGAACACCAACGGCGAAGGCAGCACUCUGGGCUGGAACUGACGCUGAGGAGCGAAAGCGUGGGUAGCAAACAGG
rnacentral:rRNA from 1 species